rfam:Triticum aestivum genome assembly, contig: Triticum_aestivum_CS42_TGACv1_scaffold_500469_6BL
UAAAUACUCCCUCCGUCCCAAAAUUCUUGUCUUAGAUUUGUCCAAAUAUGGAUGUAUGAAGUCACAUUUUAGUAUUAGGUACAUCUAUAUCUAGACAAAUCUAAGACAAGAAUUUUGGGAUGGAGGGAGUAGUAU